GCAUAAUAAUUUGCCUUCUAAUUAAAGGCUAGAAUGAACGGACAAACGAAAAUCUAACUGUUUCUUAUUAAUAACUAAAAAUUUAUCUUUAGGUGAAAAAGCCUAAAUAAACUUAAAAGACAAAAAGACCCUGCAGAGCUUAAUAUAAACCUAUAACUUAAAUAAUUAAAUAUUUUGUUGGGGCGACAAAGGAUUAUAUAAAACAUCCUUAUAUCCUAAGGAAAUAUUCCAAAUAAAAGAUCCUCAUAUGAUCAAAAGCAUAAAGCUACCUCAGGGAUAACAGGCUUAUCUUUCUUAAGAGUCCAUAUCAACAGAAAGCUUUGGCACCUCGAUGUUGGCUUAGAAUCCCUAAUGAUGCAGCAAUCAUAAAAGGUAGGUUUGUUCAACCUUUAAAAUUCU
rnacentral:rRNA from 1 species